rnacentral:rRNA from 1 species
AGCCUGAACGCUGGCGGCGUGGCUAAGACAUGCAAGUCGUACGGGUGUAGCAAUACACCAGUGGCGGACGGGUGAGUAAUGUAUCGCUAACGUACCCCGAAAUCUGGGAUAGCCAUCCGAAAGGAUGGGUAAUACCAGGUAACAUCACCGGUAGGCAUCUUCCGGUGCUCAUAGGGUCACCGUUUCGGGAGCGGGCGAUAUCGUAUCAGCUAGUUGGCGGGGUAACGGCCCACCAAGGCGACGACGCGUAGCCGGACUGAGAGGUUGGCCGGCCACAUUGGGACUGAGACACUGCCCAGACUCCUACGGGGGGCUGCAGUAACGAAUCUUCCGCAAUGCACGCAAGUGUGACGGAGCGACGCCGCGUGUGGGACGAAGCCCUUCGGGGUGUAAACCACUGUCAGAGGAUAGAAAGUUCUGAUCGUCCUCAGAGGAAUGCACGGCUAACUCUGCGCCAGCAGCCGCGGUAA